UACGUAGGGUGCAAGCGUUGUCCGGAAUUAUUGGGCGUAAAGAGCUCGUAGGCGGUCUGUCACGUCGGCUGUGAAAACCCGAGGCUCAACCUCGGGCCUGCAGUCGAUACGGGCAAACUAGAGUACUGCAGGGGAGACUGGAAUUCCUGGUGUAGCGGUGAAAUGCGCAGAUAUCAGGAGGAACACCAAUGGCGAAGGCAGAUCUCUGGGCCGUAACUGACGCUGAGGAGCGAAAGCAUGGGGAGCGAACAGG
rnacentral:rRNA from 1 species